rnacentral:piRNA from 1 species
UAGGUUACUGUAAUGAGUGCUGUGUGUGA